rnacentral:rRNA from 1 species
CACGGCGGGUGCUAACGUCCGUCGUGAAGAGGGAAACAACCCAGACCGCCAGCUAAGGUCCCAAAGUCAUGGUUAAGUGGGAAACGAUGUGGGAAGGCCCAGACAGCCAGGAUGUUGGCUUAGAAGCAGCCAUCAUUUAAAGAAAGCGUAAUAGCUCACUGGUCGAGUCGGCCUGCGCGGAAGAUGUAACGGGGCUAAACCAUGCACCGAAGCUGCGGCAGCGACGCUUAUGCGUUGUUGGGUAGGGGAGCGUUCUGUAAGCCUGCGAAGGUGUGCUGUGAGGCAUGCUGGAGGUAUCAGAAGUGCGAAUGCUGACAUAAGUAACGAUAAAGCGGGUGAAAAGCCCGCUCGCCGGAAGACCAAGGGUUCCUGUCCAACGUUAAUCGGGGCAGGGUGAGUCGACCCCUAAGGCGAGGCCGAAAGGCGUAGUCGAUGGGAAACAGGUUAAUAUUCCUGUACUUGGUGUUACUGCGAAGGGGGGACGGAGAAGGCUAUGUUGGCCGGGCGACGGUUGUCCCGGUUUAAGCGUGUAGGCUGGUUUUCCAGGCAAAUCCGGAAAAUCAAGGCUGAGGCGUGAUGACGAGGCACUACGGUGCUGAAGCAACAAAUGCCCUGCUUCCAGGAAAAGCCUCUAAGCAUCAGGUAACAUCAAAUCGUACCCCAAACCGACACAGGUGGUCAGGUAGAGAAUACCAAGGCGCUUGAGAGAACUCGGGUGAAGGAACUAGGCAAAAUGGUGCCGUAACUUCGGGAGAAGGCACGC